rnacentral:rRNA from 1 species
AGGACGAACGCUGGCGGCGUGCUUAACACAUGCAAGUCGAGCGGAAAGGCCCUUCGGGGUACUCGAGCGGCGAACGGGUGAGUAACACGUGAGCAACCUGCCCCUGGCUCUGGGAUAGCCUCCGGAAACGGGGAUUAAUACCGGACAUGACCUGCCGCGGCAUCGCGGCGGGUGGAAAGUUUUCGGCCAGGGAUGGGCUCGCGGCCUAUCAGCUUGUUGGCAGGGUAAUGGCCUACCAAGGCGACGACGGGUA